AUACGUAGGGUGCGAGCGUUGUCCGGAAUUACUGGGCGUAAAGAGCUCGUAGGUGGUUUGUCGCGUCGUCUGUGAAAUUCCGGGGCUUAACUCCGGGCGUGCAGGCGAUACGGGCAUAACUUGAGUACUGUAGGGGAGACUGGAAUUCCUGGUGUAGCGGUGAAAUGCGCAGAUAUCAGGAGGAACACCGGUGGCGAAGGCGGGUCUCUGGGCAGUAACGGACGCUGAGGAGCGAAAGCAUGGGUAGCGACCAGGAUUAGAUACCCUGGUAGUCCAUGCCGUAAACGGUGGGCGCUUGGUGUAGGGGUCUUCCACGACUUCUGUGCCGUAGCUAACGCAUUAAGCGCCCCGCCUGGGGAGUACGGCCGCAAGGCUAAAACUCAAAGGAAUUGACGGGG
rnacentral:rRNA from 1 species